GACGGCCCUUCGCAUCUUUAGAAUACAUACAAAGCUUUUAUGAUGGAGGGUUUCAAUCAUUGCCAAGUUCCAUUUAUAUUAGCAAACAAGCUACUCUUCGUCAAAUCGAAAAGAUUAUUAUUCAAAGUGGUAAAACGCUAUCUGAUUAUAAUUUAUCUGUUGUUGAUGAAUUCAUGAUCAUUCAAUUUCAAUCUUAUUCCUAUAAAAGAACUCCAUGACUUCCAGCUAUUAAACGAACAGCUCAAAACAGACUACAACAUUUCUAAAGCUCUGGUUUCUCAUUUGAGCAGUCUUGGAGGACGGAAAGUUUUUGAAGCUGUUUUGAAGCAAGGAUGAUGAAAGCAGUGAUGCCAGAUUACAUAGCUCUCCAAUUUAAUUAUAGUGGAACAAACAAUAAAAAAGGAAUAAAGGGAACUGAAUUUUUCAAUAUAUUGUGCAGUGCUGUCCAGCAAAAUGUGCUCACUUCGAGUGCAACUGCGAAAGAUAUCGAGAUAGCUAUAGGCAAAUAGUUUACUGGGGCGCGAGAUCGGGGUGGCAAACGAGCGGAAAGAGCCAAAAGAACAAAGGAAACGAGGCUACGUCAAAAGGGAGAAACAACCUGAAAGCAGGAAGUGAUUAUAAUAUAAAUUCAUGCAUCAAUGCAAAUUUGUUGCCUGCUAUGUACAUUUUUUUGCUAUCUUAUUACUUGAUGUACAUAUCUCUUUUUUUUGAAUAUUUCUAUAACUGGUGUUUCUUGUUAAGUUUGAGAACAUUUUUAUUUACAUUAUAUACUUGAUUUAAUUUAUUGUUUUUGUUAUAAACAAAUUCUUUUAAUAA